GAUGAACGCUAGCGGCAGGCUUAAUACAUGCAAGUCGAGGGGCAGCACGGUUAGCAAUAACUGGUGGCGACCGGCGCAUGGGUGCGUAACACGUAUACAAUCUACCUUAAACAGGGGGAUAGCCUUUCGAAAGAGAGAUUAAUACCCCGUAAUAAAUUGAACGGCAUCGUUUGAUUUUGAAAGCUCCGGCGGUUUGAGAUGAGUAUGCGUCUGAUUAGCUAGUUGGUGAGGUAACGGCUCACCAAGGCGACGAUCAGUAGGGGAUCUGAGAGGACUAACCCCCACACUGGUACUGAGACACGGACCAGACUCCUACGGGAGGCAGCAGUAAGGAAUAUUGGUCAAUGGAGGGCAACUCUGAACCAGCCAUGCCGCGUGCAGGAUGACGGCCCUAUGGGUUGUAAACUGCUUUUAUACAAGAGAAAACCCUGGUACGUGUACCAGGUUGAUAGUAUUGUAAGAUAAGCAUCGGCUAACUUCGUGCCCAGCAGCCGCGGUAAU
rnacentral:rRNA from 1 species